rnacentral:rRNA from 1 species
GACAGCAGCCGCCGCGGGAAUACAUAGGGUGCGAGCGUUAAUCGGAAUUACUGGGCGUAAAGCGUGCGCAGGCGGUUAUGUAAGACAGUUGUGAAAUCCCCGGGCUCAACCUGGGAACUGCAUCUGUGACUGCAUAGCUAGAGUACGGUAGAGGGGGAUGGAAUUCCGCGUGUAGCAGUGAAAUGCGUAGAUAUGCGGAGGAACACCGAUGGCGAAGGCAAUCCCCUGGACCUGUACUGACGCUCAUGCACGAAAGCGUGGGGAGCAAACAGGAUUAGAUACCCCUGUAGUCCCUGUCUCUUAUAC